UCAAAAACAUCGCCUAUAGCAACUUAACCUAUUAUAGGUACAUCCUGCCCAGUGAAAUUUUUAAACGGCCGCGGUAUCCUGACCGUGCAAAGGUAGCAUAAUCAUUUGCCCCCUAAUUAGGGGCUAGUAUGAAUGGACAAACGAGAUUAUACCUGUCUCCCCUAUACUCAUAAAAAUUUAUCUGCAGGUGAAGAAGCCUGCAUAAAAAUAAAAGACAAGAAGACCCUGUCAAGCUUUAAUUAUCACUAAGCAUCCCAUAAACAAUCCCACAUACACCUCCUUAAAACUAAUUUUUGUUGGGGCGACAAUGGAACAAACAAAACUUCCAACAUACUUUAGACAUCAAGUCUCACCAAAGAUCCUCAAACGAUAUUAGGAACUAGCUACUGCAGGGAUAACAGACUAAUCCCUCUUAAGAGCCCAAAUCUACAGAGGGGCUUGGCACCUCGAUGUUGGCUUAGGAUUUCACUUAGAUGCAGAAGUCUAAGAUGUAGGUUUGUUCAACCUUUAAUAUCCUACGUGAUCUGA
rnacentral:rRNA from 1 species